rnacentral:rRNA from 1 species
UCGCCUUGGGAGGGGCCCGCGUCGGAUUAGGUAGUUGGUGGGGUAAUGGCCUACCAAGCCUGCGAUCCGUAGCUGGUCUGAGAGGAUGAUCAGCCACACUGGAACUUAGACACGGUCCAG